UGGCCUUCAAGACUGAAGAUCCUGCCUGGUAUGGUGGUGUUACAUGUGUGUAAUCUCAGCAUUUUGGAUGCAGAAGCAGGGGGAUUGCUACAAGUUCAGGUCUAUCUGAAGUAUGUGGAAAGUGCUAGGUGGUGGAAGGCUUUCUCCCAGCAGCGGCGGCGGCGGCAGAGAAUUAUGACUCCAGCCAACCAGGUGAUCCAGACAGUAACCAACCAUUCAGACCUGAUAACUCACACCUGCAAUCCUAACAUUUGAGAUGACACCGGAGAGUUACUGCAAAUGGUAGGCCAGCCUGGGCUAUAGUGAGUUCUAGGCCAGCCUGGGCUACAAGGGUAAGACCCUGUCAAAAAUAAAACAAGAAUGAGAGAGCAA